rnacentral:lncRNA from 1 species
ACGGCAACAACCUCGACUGCUACAGCCAGAGACCCUUCGCUUAAUUAAUUAGUUAUGUAUUAAUCUUGGCCCUCCAUAAAAUACAAUAAGAGCAUCAUCUCCUAUCUACAUGCUGUAAGAUGUAACUUUCGUUACCUUUUAUGGGGAACAUAACUAAGGCAUCUCGUAUAGAUGCUUAAUUUGCUACUGAAUCUUACCAACAAUAUUGGCUCUUUGUUUCAUAU